rnacentral:hammerhead_ribozyme from 1 species
AUCGGGCUGACGAAUCCUAAAUAGGACGAAACGCGCGUCUUGGAU